UAUCUCUGUAGAGUCUGCAUAUCAAUAAGCGGAGGAAAAGAAACUAACUAGGAUUCCCUCAGUAACGGCGAGUGAAGCGGGAAGAGCUCAAAUUUGAAAUCUUCAAGGUUCUACCUUGACGAAUUGUAGUUUAAAGAAGUGUUUUCUGUUGGAGUUUUGGUAAAAGUUCUUUGGAAUAGGACAUCAUAGAGGGUGAGAAUCCCGUAUUUGACCAUUACUUCCAGCGUUGUGAUACACUUUCAAAGAGUCGGAUUGUUUGGGAAUGCAGUCCAAAAUGGGUGGUAAAUUUCAUCUAAAGCUAAAUACUGGCGAGAGACCGAUAGCGAACAAGUACCGUGAGGGAAAGAUGAAAAGAACUUUGAAAAGAGAGUUAAACAGUACGUGAAAUUGUCAAAAGGGAAGCGUUUGACACCAGUGUUGUUUUCUCGAAAAUCAAUUAAAAAAGGCAGGAUUUUGUGUUGUAUUGACUUUAUCAGCUUUCUGCACUCUUUUCUUGUCUUUUUUAAUGCACUUUUCGUUUAACAAGUCAACAUCGAUUUCUUUUGUUGUAAAAGGGUCAUUGGAAGGUGGCUUUCUUUUCGGAGAAAGUGUUUAUAGCCUUUGGCCUCUGCAAUCGGAGAGAUUGAGGUCUGCAGCGUAGAUCCUUCGGGGUUAGAUACAUUUGUGCUAAGUUAUAGCCUUUCAUAGACAACUUGUUGACUAUGAUCAGUCAUGUAGCUUACUCGCUUAUGCUAUUUUACCUACGCUUAGGAUGUUGAAGAUGUAGCACAUCAU
rnacentral:rRNA from 1 species